rnacentral:lncRNA from 1 species
GGGGUAAGUAAGACGCAAAAUAGAUGCAUUUCGGGAGACUGGAUAGAAUUCAGCCAUAAAAGGAUACACAUUACAAGGAUAUCAAAGGCUGGAUCCAUCUUGUGGCUGAGGAGAAAUAUGUAAUGAACAAAUGUCUUUAACAUUAUUUUUACUUAAUGGAACAAAUAUUUUACUCCCUUAUUUGCAUUAGUACUUUUCUAACGUCGUGCAGAAGGAGAUGAUAGACGUACAAAUCACUCAAGAGACAUAUGUUGACGGAGAAGUGAGGAGAUUCAAGGAGGAGAUUUGCCAGGUGCUACUGCUAAAAUAAGCAGCCUUAGAGUGCCCACUACUUACCCGUCUUCUGUCUUCAUCGCCUGAUCAUGAGUCAACUGAUUAUUAGUUUAGAGUUAUCUUCAUGGUUGAUUCUCUAUUAUAGCUUAUGUUACUUCUGGACUACACUAAUCUUCUCAUAUUAUGGAACAUGAUUAGGCUUUUUAUUGCCUAUGCUACCAUUUUGGACUAUAUGUUUAUGUAGUUACUCAUAUUUUGGAAGUUGAAUUGACUUGUCUUUGAUAUAAUAUAUUAUUUUGUCUUACAUAUAUUUUGCUAUUGCUUUGUGAUUUCAAAUAGUUCUUGAUUUUAGAUUUGUGUUGGUACAUUGUGUUGGAGUUGUGCUUUUAAUCUAUUUUGAAAUUUAAACUAUUGCACAUAUUCAAAUUUUUAUUUUUAUUUUAUUUUAUUUUGUGCAUAAAAUCACAUUUAUCAAUUGAAACAAUUGUCAGCACUUUCUUAAAUGUUCUUAGUUGGCAGAGGUUUUGCUAGUCCUGACCAAUAAGAAAUUGGUAAACAAAAAUAUGUAUAUCUACUGACUAAAAUUCCAAUUUUACCAACUCAAAUAUUUGGUUGGCAAAGGUUAAAUCAUUCCCGACGAACAUGGAAUUGGUAAGCAAAACUCUUAUAUUUGCCGACUAACAUGCAUUUUAGUCGGUAAAAACUUUUGCUGGCUGCCCUUUGGCGAUCAGCUUCCAACCAGUAUUUUCUAGUCAGGAAUUAAUUUUAUCGGCUGAUAAUGGACCUUUAGCAACUAAUCUUUUGGUC